CCUACGGGAGGCAGCAGUGGGGAAUAUUGCUCAAUGGGCGAAAGCCUGAACCAGCGACGUAGCGUGAGUGAUGAAGUACCUCGGUAUUUUAAGCUCCAUUAGUAGGGGAGUAAAGUACGGCACCUGAUUAAUUAGGUCUGUCUUACUUGGUUCAGGCAGCGGAGGUAAUACGGAGGGGGCCAGCGUUAUCCGGAUUUACCGGGUGUAAAGGGAGCGUAGAGGGUAGAAAAAGUGUGUAGUGAAAUUCCGGGGCUCAACCGCGGGAUUGCUGUUGGAACUGGCUGGCUGGAGUACAGGAGGGGUAGGCGGAAUUCGUGGUGUAGCGGUGAAAUGCGUAGAUAUUAGGAAGAACACCGAUGGCGAAGGCAGCAUGCUGAACUGCGACUGACGUUGAGGCUCGAAGGCGUGGGGAGCAAACAGGAUUAGAUACCCGGGUAGUC
rnacentral:rRNA from 1 species